rnacentral:rRNA from 1 species
AGUGAACGCUGGCGGCGUGGAUUAGGCAUGCAAGUCGAGCGAUCUCGCAAGAGAUAGCGGCAAACGGGUUAGGAACACGUAGAUAAUCUUCCUUAUAUCCUGGGAUAGCCCUAUGAAAAUAGGGGUAAUAUCAGAUAGUAUCUUAAAAGGACAUCCUUUAAAGAUUAAAGUAGGGGACCGCAAGGCCUUACGAUAUAAGAUGAGUUUGCGUAGCAUCAGCUAGUUGGUAGGGUAAUGGCCUACCAAGGCUUUGACGCUUAGCUGGUCUGA